rnacentral:sRNA from 1 species
UGCCGCAUCGUCGACCCUAUCAGGGGUAUU